AAAUCUCUCUCCUGAAUCAAAAAAGAAAUAAAAAAAGUUAUCUUCUGCUUCGAUAUCUUUUUACCAAUUUCCAGAAGUUGAGAAAUCUCGGCGUCGGAUGAAUGGAAGAUGCUCAAAUCUUUUGAUUCCGUUUCCAAUUUCGUGGUAUGUAUAGGAGAGUUUGAGAUCCGUAAUUUCAUAUGUUCAAGUUUUUCUAUGAUUUGAAGGAGAAUAGGUUGGAUUUAUGAAGAAAAUAUUCUGGAUUUAUUGAUCGAUAAUCUGAUUUCUGACUAAUGUAUAUGGUUUCUGGUUUCUAGUAAUUUUAGUUUGAAGAUUCGAUUUUUGUGGUUGAUUUUUAAUUGUAAGAAGUAAAGGUUGAAAAUUUAUGCUUAGCUCGUCGUACUCCUUUCAAUAUCAACGAGAUAAGGUCGUAAAGGUGGAUUUCUGUGUUUGAUUCCAACGCUACAUCUAUUCCUUGAUACUUGGUGAUUCCAGAAUGGUUAGAUAAAAAUACCAAUGCGGAGCCAUAGAGAACCAUUACUAUCCACACUGGAGCGAUAGAGAACCAUUACUCUCAUGGAUUUUUUCUCGCGCAUCCCAGGGUCUGAUUUAUGCAAGGGUUAACUCUCAUCAACUGCUCUUUACUCAAUGCUACCAAGUCUUUCUUAGUUUAUUAUCAUCCCCCUUGUAUUGGUAGUUUAAACGACUCUCCACGUCCCUGCUGCUGAGAUGCUAAAGAAGCUUGCCUCCAUCGCGAAGCCAUGUCUGAACUUAUUUACAUUAGACUUAGCAGGUUUAGUUCAUCGGUGAGUGAACUUCUUGCGUCGAGGUGCACAAACAUGUAGGGUUGAGUGCUGGUUGUAUGAUCUGGUCUGCUAUUGUACUUGCUCUACAAGCACCUGGUAGUGGUAACUUCACUUUACCAAGUUUAAAUUUGAAGAACUCCAGUACAUCUAGCUGGAUAAAUUCUGAUCUUUCAUGAUUUCCGAACACUAUGCAACACGAGUCUAUUUCUUAAGCCAUUCUGUGAAGAUUGCACUGAAUAGACGAGAUUUGCAACUUUUCAAUGCUUGAUCUUUGGGUCUGAAAGAACCACCAAGUUGAUAACUGGUUAAAGUUUUGUUCUUUUAUCGAUUAUACUAUGAAACAUGGCUCUUCUAGUUCUUGGUCUUCCUGUUUGCAAUUUUAAGAAUAAUACCCCAAAACAUUAUGGAGUCCUGAAGAGUGCUUGUGAUUGUGGGAUAUGAUGAGCAGGAAUGAGAUCAGUUCGUCUUUUCUUGUGCUGCUAAUCUUCCAGUUACGUUUGGAGUAGAGAAGCCAGAGGAAUCAAGAUUUCAGUCCUGAGGAAUGAGGUAAGUGAAUUUUCUGUUGAAUUGCUUUUGUGGAAAGUGACUGUAUUGCGGACGAGAGAACGGCCGAGCUGCAUGUUGAGUGCGAGCAUGGAUGUCUCCUCAUUCGGCCCCUUCACCGAUAACAAGGCCGGACACAUCAGUGCAACCAUAUUGUUGGAAUCAGAUUGUUACACUGAGGACAAAGUAUCAGGAUGUAACAUAACUUUCUCAACUUGCAUUAGCUGUUGAAUCACACACAACAUCCUUAAGAGCAACAAAAGAGUGAACUAGCUUUGCUGUCCGCAGCUGUUGAAUAUGGAGUUGUUUACAGGAGGUAUUUAUUUUUGGGUCAUUCACUAAAGAGGGUGUCACUUAUUCAAAACCCAGCAAUCCGCUAGCCAGCCUCUGGAAAAGAAAGAAUUCAGUUUGGUUCUUUAGACGCAGCAACUAUAAGCUCCAUGGUUUGAUUUAAGGUUGAACACAAGCAGGAUGAUGUUUCUAAAGAGGUAAAAAUGUCAAUUCACCAAACCCGAAGAGAAAGGAAAAUUCACUCAAGAGUGUAAAUACAACAAAUGGCGAGCCGCGUAGUGUGUCUUGAAGUAUUGCAAAGAAUGGAAAUGAUACAUCUUCUUCUAGUUGCUAUCCACUUGGAAACGGGGUAAUAGAGAGAACUAGUGCUGACUUAAAUUCAUUGCGUGUAUCCCAAAAUAGAGAAGUGCGCAGAAGCAAUCAAUUGCAGACCUUGAGUAGGGAAUAGAAACCGUUACCUCUUUCCCAGGGGAGAUAAAUGCCGUCGAUUCAUCAGAAAGUUUGUUACUGAAAGAGAAUGUUCGUAAGGUGGUAUUAAAUGGGCUGGAUGCAUCUUUUAUAAUUUUAUUACCUCGAGGUUUAGUCAACACAGGGAACCUAUGCUUUCUCAGUGCAUCACUUUUCUCUCCUGUUCCCCAUUUGUUCAACUUCUGCAGGAACUAUUGAUAUUCUUAAGAUCGGGUGUCUUACAUAACAUGUGUUUUAUCUCCCAUUUUGAUACUGUUGCUGAUGCAAGCUUGAAGAAGUCCUAAAUGGUGGUACUCAGACCAGGAUGCCUUUCGUCCCCGCCAUGUUUUGAGCCAGUUUUGAAAAAUUUCACUCCCGAGGUACCAAAUAGUGUGUCAGGAAGGCCAAGGUAGACUCUGCUAAGAUUCAGCCUUGCCUCUUGCUUCACCUUGGUAUUGCUGCGGGAGCUGUUCGUACAUUGGAAGGGUACAAAAUAUCUGCAGCUGGCAAGGUAAUCUCAAUUGAGCUAAUUGGAGUACUUCAAAUGCAGUCACAGUUAGACAAACAACUUCAUGCAGCAAGUGUAUGCGCUUGGUUGGUAGAUAAUUUUGUAGCUACCAUGCAUUCUUUUUUCUUUAGAAGGAAAAAAGGAGCCCAACUUUGUGCACACUCCUUUAAAGAGUGUGCACGUAACAACCAAUCAGAUUCAUUCUCUAAAAUCAACAGUUACUUAUAUAAUAAAAUCAUUUUUUUUUUUAAUUUUUAGGAUUAAUUUAUAUUUGGUUAUAAUAACAAUUUUAUCGUUAUCCUAGUAUUUUACUACCUAAAACGAAAUGUAUUUAAUAAGAAUGAUGACUCCAGAAUAACCGGAGCCACCCAUUGAUAAGCAUCAUAAUAGGCGUUGCAAACAAAAUGAAUGCGGAAUAUAUAUAAAAGCAACUAUGAAGAAUGAAUUGAGGUUACAAAAAAAUGAAAGAGGAAUACACAAAAGCAACUAUGAAGAAAAAGUAAUUUUAUUAAGUUAAAUUUUUAAUUUUGAAUCAUGUUCAUUAGCUAAUCUAUUUUGAUCAUCAUGUAAUUUUAUUAAGCCGCACUUUAUUAACUCCAUAAGCUAUAAUUAACCUUAACUUGUUUUGGUCAUCUUUUUUAUUUAUUUUUCCCUUUUUCUUUUAAUACCAUUAGCUAUAAUUAAUUUUGUUUUGAUCAUCAAGUCCGUCUUCUUUGGAGAAACGAAAGCAAACUUGAUGACUUGGGUUUUUUCCUGUUUUUACGAAAGGGAAAUUAGAGAAAUUACUGUUAGUUAUUUCAACUCCUAGAUAUUAGGCUAGAAUUAGAUAUCAUGCAUAUAUUUGUUUGCAUUUACGAUUACAUGAAUUAAAAUUAAAAGAAUAACUGAUUUUAUUAUAUACUUAACUGUCAGUUAAUUAUAGCCAAUAGCUAUCAUUUGUUAUGUGCACACUCUUUAAGGGAUUUAAGGGAGUGUGCACAAAAUCAGACUCGGAAAAAAGAUCAUUCCAAAUCCUCUGCAGAUCAUCUCCUUCAGUUUUAUAAGCUAAUAUAUAAAGUCCUAAGCUAAUUUUGUUAAGAACAUAUCAUUUAUUAGUUGCUUUUGUUAACUAUUAUAAAAAUCAUGGAAACUUAUGUGAGAAGAACUAUAGUUGUAUGCACCGCGGCUCGGGAUUUUACACCCGCCGCCGCGCCGACUUAUGCCUUGUACAACAUAGACAGCAGCAACUUAAGCUACCAACUGUUCUAGCAUGCCAUGUACCGGCUUUGUCGGCCUCCAAUGCGGCCUUAAGCUUCUUAAAUCUCGGAAUAGUGUCAAAGCGGCAUUCUCGAGCGGGAAACUCUCUUUGGAUGUUGCAAGGCAAUUGGCUGGCUCGUUUUCUCCAUAUGGUAUGCUAGUAAGCAUCACUUUUUCGAAUUACAUCAUUAGCACAUGCAUCUCCGUUGUGAGUUUGUUGAGGCGUAUUGGUUCGAUUUCGCCACGUAAAACUUUGGCUAAGUUUUCGUGGACUAAUUCUAACCUCACAUUCUUAAAUCCAGCUUUAAGUGCAUACACUAAGCUUUUUUAGCCACAAUUGCUUCAAUUCUAUAGGAAACUGUUGCUGGUUCACUUUUUAGAUUAGAUCCAUUUUUCACCUUUAAAUAAGGCACCUUCAAUUUAAUUUGAAAGCCAAACAUAAAUUCUGCCUCACUGUCCCUAAACAUGACCGAUGACCCCCGCCUGUUGCCCUUGCUUCUUUGAUAUUUGUUUCCUUGGCCUUUCCAUCUGUCUCUGGUUCUUCCAAUUUCUUAGCAAAAAAAAAAACAAUGUCUUGGGCUUUGGUAUCUUUACACAUCCAUCUGCAUUAUCAUUUAACCACCCUAUCAUUUAACCACCCUUUUGGUGGCUUCUCCCACUGGUAAUAUUCUGUUUUCCCGCCGUUUAAUAUUCUCUUAUGAUUUCCUUCUCACGAAGCUUGCUAAACAUGCUUUAUAUACAUGCUUAUGUACAAGAAAAAUCACUUUAAAUACAUGCUUAUGUACAUUCACUUUAAAUAAGAAAACCACUUUAAAUACAUGCUUACUUACAUUCAAUUCUGCUUUACUUUAUUAUGAGAAAGAUAAUUUUGUGUCAUAUUUCAUAAGAGAUCGGAAACUUAGGAAAAGGUGGUGAAGGGUGGGUUACUGCAGGUGGCUACUUGCAGAGACAGAUUAAUUUAAAGCUGGGAUUACCCGUCCGUAGCAUUCAAACUUUAUACUAUGUGGUCUUUGACAAUGAUGUGCUACUUACUUUUUUAUACUUGUUACAUGCAUGCAAAAACGUGCUAUUAGUGUUGUUAGGGUACAAUAUGAAUGUGUCUGAUACAUGGUCGAUCAAGGAUACUUGUAAGAUUCAUCAUGCUGGACUUUUAAAGUUCUAUUAAAAACUUUUAAAACUGUACGCAGGUUUGAACCUGUCAAUUUUCUUAAAAUUGAAUUUUAUUUGGCUAACAAGAAAAGCAGUGCAUGUGUUCGCAUCCUGAGUUUUCUAUAUGUUGAUUCGCUAAACCAAUUUCUGUAUCAGAUGUCUCGUAGACAUAGUUUGAAGUUGUAGCAGCCAUUUUGAAGAGAUUGUCUAAAGUGAAGUGAUGUUUUUCAUAAUUUGAAUCACUUUAUUGAGAUGUCAUGUCACCUGGCUUUCUACAACAUGCUGGUAGACUGGAAAGACCUCUACAUGCGUGUAGUAAAUCUGUAGUUACUGCAGAUGUCUAAUGCUUAGCAUGGGUCCCACACAGCCACUAUUUGUGUUUGGUGAGUUCAUAAAAGAUUGUUUUAUUCAACUACAUCAUAUCGUUAGUAGCGUUGUAUCAGAGUCCUUAGCUGAAUUUUGUUCUCUCAGACCAGUCUCGAAGAUGGUACUUUUCAAGGUUUUGAUGUCCGAAUCGCUUCAUGUGGCCCAUCUUUUUGUUUAAAGCCAUUUUCGCUCUUCAGGCUCAUGAUAAUCCUGUUAGCUCUAUUUCAUAUUGUCCGACUGCUCCUAUAUGUAUCUGUUAUCCCUCAAACAUUUGCAAAUUGGCAAAUUGAUGUACCAUUCUAUUUCUAUAGCUACUAGCUACGGGCUCGACAGAGAAUCAGUUAUCCCAUACCCAGAUCCACUGGAAAUUGCCUAUCUACAUGUUUCCGUAAUGUCAUAACAAUUUACUUCUUUACGGAUUCAAGGUAAAAUCAUGGGAUUAUCAAACAAUCAGCCCUCGUGUGUCGCAUCUAAAAACCUUAAUGCUGUGAGCAACCCUGUAAGUCUCAGUUGUUUAUUUUGGUUUGGUAAUUAUAUGGAAGUGGAAACUUGCCGAGUUCUGUUUCAUAUUCUGCACAUCAGAUUUGACUUUUUGCCAAAUUGAUUUUUAAUGCGUUUUGCAUAUAAUAUGUAUGUUACUAGGGAGCUACUUUCAACAUCCGUUUCUGAAGACUGUCCUUUUUUGCUAGCCGGGGGAGGCUUCAAAGGAAACCUGCAAUUGCAGCCAUUGACAGUUGAAGGGAACUGAGAUUGACGGUAAAUAUGAGAAGAGAAACUGUUGAACUGCCUUUUGUCAAUCUUGAGGUUUUGUUUCUUUGGUAAUCUUACUCAAAGUAUUAGGUCCUCUUUUCAUACGGACAAGGAUGGCUAUCAUUAGUUCGCUGAAAGAGCUGAUAAUGUUACAGACGCGAAGUACAUUCUAUACUUUUAACUCGUUUUGUAGCUUUCUUUGGCCUUAGCAUUUAGAACACGUAGAAAUGCUGUAUGUGGGUUAGGGAGAAGAUUACUCAUAAAGUAAUGUUUUGAUGAAGUAAUUUGAUUAUUGUCUUAUUUAUCUGUCUGUUUCAUUGGAUCUGCUUCGAUCUUGCACCGCCAAUGUGCUGAAUCUGUCGUAGUUGGUGUUGAAUCGGAGGUCCCUCUCUCCUUCUCUCACUCACUCUCUAACCCUCACACCCACCCACACCUAUGCACUCGUACACACAGACACACACGCAAUGGAUGUGAGCUAUGUAGAUGAUCUUAGUGAUUUGAUCAAAAAUAUUACCUCCUAAAAUUCUACAAAUGUUAAGCAUCUAAUGGCAGUUUGUGUUUGAAAUUUGAAGCUUAUGCCCUUCUUCUUAGUUAUAAAGUCCCAAGUAUGUCUAGAUUAUUCUCAAACCUUCUCUUGAUCAACUUUCUAUUGCUACUUGCUAGGUUAAAGUGUAGGCCAUCUAUGCCUUCCUCGUAUUAGUGUUGAGUGUCCCUUCCAGCGAGGAACUCAAGAAAAACCUCACGCUGGCAGUUAGAAAACAGAUUUGGUUUAUGAAAGAAGAUAUAUUAAUGCACUUCCUUGAUUACACUUUUUAUGCUUUGUACCAUUCAGGGAGUUGGAGGAACAAUUGAGUUGGCCCCUAGAUACUUAGAGCAAGUAUAUGUUGUGGGUACGUAAGGCUGGUGGUGUGUUUAUGGCGGAUGAAGUACAAACAGAAUUUGACCGUACUGGAAGCCAUUUCUGAGUUUUUGAGACACAAAGUGUUAUUCCUGACUUUGUUACUAUGGUCAAGGGUGUGCGAAAUGGUUUACCGUUAGAGCGGUUGUGACAACACCUGAAAUAGCAAGUGUAAUGGCUCAAAAAAUUUAGUCUACAUAAUUGGUGCAACCCUGUAUUUUCAAAUUGUGCGCUUGGCGUUCUCAGAGUCUUUGAUAUGGAAAAACAUGAAGCACAGGGUGCUGAUAACCAAAGUGUGAAGGAUCUGCAGCAGAGAUAUGAAAGUAAGCCUCUCAGAUUGCUUGGUUAAUCUGUUAAAGUAUUAAUUUCUAGUUUUUAUUUGUGUGAACAUUAGUGUGAACUAGUUUGUGCAACAGACCUAGAUGUAUAAUAUGAGAAUGACUCAGCGUGUAUGCAAGUGAGCAGAACUAGAUUGAGAGGGGCCAUAACUUCUGUGUGGUUGGCAAUACAGAACUGCUUCAGUUUAUGAAAACAUUAGAUGGUAGUAUUAGGGUUAUGAUUCUCUGAGAAGGUGUAUUGCAUCUGGAUUUCCGAACCUGCCACAGAGUGGUAGUUGCAAGAUUGAGCUAAUCGUGCAUGAAGGAGAUAAGAGCUGAGCUGUUUAACCGGAAGAAGAACCAGUUCUGCACAUCGACGAAGUUGCUAUUUUUAGCUCUGUUGUUGAAGACUAGGUGAUUUCCAAACUAUGAAGUUGCUUCUACAUGCAUUUGUCUGCCAAUGAACUCUGUUUUUCUUUUAACAAAAUUUUGAUUCGUGCAUAAUAGGUGUCAUGUGUGAAAUCAUUUUAUAUUUUCUUAAGAAUUUCCUGGAAUUCGUGGAAUCACAAUAUCUUUAAUCCAGUGGGUUUUGUCCGAUAAUAAUACAUCAAUGAAAUAAUUGUAAUAGGGUUGUUUAAUCAACUUCUACUUAACUUGCUAUACUAUUCAUUUUUCAACAA